rnacentral:rRNA from 1 species
CAUUCGAGUGGCGGACGGGUGAGUAACGCGUGGGUAACCUGCCUUACACAGGGGGAUAACACCUGGAAACAGGUGCUAAUACCGCAUAAGCGCACAGGGCCGCAUGGCCCGGUGUGAAAAACUCCGGUGGUGUAAGAUGGACCCGCGUCUGAUUAGCUUGUUGGCGGGGUAGAGGCCCACCAAGGCGACGAUCAGUAGCCGGCCUGAGAGGGUGGACGGCCACAUUGGGACUGAGACACGGCCCAAACUCCUACGGGAGGCAGCAG